rnacentral:rRNA from 1 species
UACAGAGGUCUCAAGCGUUGUUCGGAUUCAUUGGGCGUAAAGGGUGCGUAGGCGGCGCGGUAAGUCGGGUGUGAAAUCUCGGAGCUUAACUCCGAAACUGCAUUCGAUACUGCCGUGCUUGAGGACUGGAGAGGAGACUGGAAUUUACGGUGUAGCGGUGAAAUGCGCAGAUAUCAGGAGGAACACCGAUGGCGAAGGCAGGUCUCUGGGCAUUAACUGACGCUGAGGAGCGAAAGCAUGGGGAGCGAACAGG